AUGACAGCAACAAGGAAUGCGGCAACAUCCAAAUGCCUCCAACUAGUAAGGCAACUCCCAAGAAGCCAGCUCAAUGGCAAGAACAAAUCCCAGGCAAUAAACAGCUACGCCCUGCCAGUGAUCAGAUACCCUGCAGGAAUAAUAAGGUGGCCAAAGGAAGAGAUACAGACCACAAAUGUUAAGACACGAAAGCUCCUCACCAUGCAUGGAGGGUUCCACCCCAAAUCCAGCACCCUGAGACUGUACGCUAGCCGCAAGGAAGGAGGCCGAGGACUAGUGAGCGUGAGAGCCACUAUCCAGGAUGAAACAUCCAAGAUCCAUAAGUACAUCAAGGAGAAGGCCCCGACAGAUGACGUGCUGAGUGAAUGUCUCAGGCAGUGGAGAACAGAGGAUGAGAUGCUGGAAGAGGGACCAUCAUGGGAGGACAAGCCCUUGCACGGGAUGUACCACCGAAACAUAACUGAAGUGGCUGAUCUCAACAAAUCCUACCAAUGGCUUGAAAGGGCUGGGCUGAAGGACAGCACAGAGGCACUCAUCCUGGCUGCACAGGAGCAGGCCCUGAGCACCAGAGCCAUAGAGGCCCAGAUCUACCACACCAGACAAGACCCAAGGUGUAGACUGUGCAAAGAGGCCCCUGAGACGGUCCAGCACAUAACUGCAGGGUGUAAGAUGCUGGCAGGCAAAGCAUACAUGGAACGCCAUAACCAAGUGGCUGGCAUAGUAUACAGGAACAUCUGCGCAGAGUAUGGACUGGAAACCCCAAGGUCAAAGUGGGAAACACCUCCCAAGGUGGUAGAGAAUGAGCGAGCCAAGAUCCUGUGGGACUUCCAGAUCCAGACUGACAGAAUGGUAAUGGCGAACCAACCAGACAUUGUGGUGGUGGAUAAAGAGCAGAGGAAAGCCGUAGUGGUGGAUGUGGCAAUACCAAGCGAUGGCAACAUCAGGAAAAAGGAACAUGAGAAACUAGAGAAAUACCAAGGGCUCAGAGAAGAACUGGAGAAGGCUUGGAAGGUGAAGGCCACAGUGGUGCCUGUGGUGAUCGGAGCACUAGGGGCUGUGACCCCCAAACUGGAGGAGUGGCUACAACAGAUCCCUGGAAAAACAUCCGAAAUCUCAGUCCAGAAAAGUGCAGUCCUAGGAACAGCAAGGAUACUGCGCAGAACCCUCAAGCUCCCUGGCCUCUGGUAG
rnacentral:lncRNA from 1 species